UCAAAACGAGAUCUCAUUAUUAUUUCGACAAAACUGAUCGGUCUACCUAUUGUGUACAUCACACAGCAGAGGAUCAAUAUUCCCGCCCUAGCUUGGCAUUGAGUUGAUCAACGUAGGUACUUGAUCACGUUGUACUGAUGAGUGCCCAAGCAGAUCUUAACCAUGAGGCGUCGGCGUCGUUAGAAACUCGAUAAUGACGCGCCAGCGUCGUUUAGAACUCCGAUCGAACUGAUACAGCUUUUGAUCGAGCGAACAACCACGCUCGAGACCAUGCAUCACUAUCAGUUAUCGGUUAACCGUCAAACAGGCUGUGCUAUCGUGUACGAUAUAACUACAACUACUAUAUCGUGUACGAUAUAACUACGAUUCCGCUUUAUUUGAUACGGUGAUAUACGGUGUUCUGAAGAUAGUAUCCAAUAAGUUAUUACAAGUGCCUGACCGGUAAUGCAGCUUUGAGGCUGACACUUAGAAUUCGCGCGUUUAAUGCAUGCUGUAAAUUCGAUCGUUGAGGAAGUCGCCAGCGUUAAAACCGAGAUAUCUUUUGUCUCUAUUGUUAUUUCUGGCCUGGUAAAUUCAACGAUGCGGGACUAAGUAAUUUGAGGUGGAGAUGAGAGAUCGACCUAUUUGUUCCUGAGCUAAAAUUGAUUGUCGCAUAAUUAUCUGGAGUGGCUUCUCUAGCACAAUGGCGCCAUGAGCCUACCCAAGCCAAAUGGGUUUUGGCUUCAAUUGCAUGUGCAUGCUAGAGAAGAUGGCGGACAUCGCGGGAUACACUAUUUUUAAGACACAAACACUUACACACACACACAUUAAUAGUUUUAAGUUGAAUUUUUUUUAAUAAUCAAUUAGUUUAUAAGUAGUUAGGGUAAGUUAUAAAUAAA